UCUGGUGCCCGCGCGCAUGUCCAUGCGUGCAGUUAAACGGGAAACACGGCGCUGUGCAUGACACAGCCAACGUGUGCUGCCCCCGCAACGGUAAAACAAGCGUCACCGCCUCAUCGUGACCGGCAAGCCUUCGAGCCACUGUGCAGUCUGCAUGGGAAGGCAGCUUGCCCGACUUGUUAGCCCGGAUACCGGCCAGGACA
rnacentral:ncRNA from 1 species